rnacentral:rRNA from 1 species
GUGAGGAAUAUUGGUCAAUGGGCGAGAGCCUGAACCAGCCAAGUCGCGUGAAGGAAGAAGGAUCUAUGGUUCGUAAACUUCUUUUGUAGGGGAAUAAAGUGCGGGACGUGUCCUGUUUUGUAUGUACCCUGAGAAUAAGGAUCGGCUAACUCCGUGCCAGCAGCCGCGGUAAUACGGAGGAUCCGAGCGUUAUCCGGAUUUAUUGGGUUUAAAGGGUGCGUAGGUGGUUUGAUAAGUCAGCGGUGAAAGUUUGCGGCUUAACUGUAAAAAUGCCGUUGAUACUGUCGGACUUGAGUGUAAAUGAGGUAGGCGGAAUGCGUGGUGUAGCGGUGAAAUGCAUAGAUAUCACGCAGAACUCCGAUUGCGAAGGCAGCUUACUAAGCUACAACUGACGCUGAAGCACGAAAGCGUGGGGAUCAAACAGGAUUAGAUACCCUUGUAGUCC